rnacentral:rRNA from 1 species
UACAGAGGGGGCAAGCGUUGUUCGGAAUUACUGGGCGUAAAGGGCGCGUAGGCGGCGUGUUAAGUCACUUGUGAAAUCUCUGAGCUUAACUCAGAACGGUCAAGUGAUACUGAUGUGCUAGAGUGCAGAGGGGGCAACCGGAAUUCUUGGUGUAGCGGUGAAAUGCGUAGAUAUCAAGAGGAACACCUGAGGUGAAGACGGGUUGCUGGGCUGACACUGACGCUGAGGCGCGAAAGCUAGGGUAGCAAACGGG